rnacentral:lncRNA from 1 species
UUUCAAACCCUGGUUUCUCUCUCUGUUUGCUUUCUCUUUCUUCUUUGUGAGACCAACAACAAGAAAUUGAAGCUUUCGGGAAUCAAUCCAAGCCUUCAGUCUUUUCUUAUCGAGCUAAGACAACACAACAAACACACUUGAGCCGUUUUCAGUUUGUUGUUCUUCUCUCAUCGUCUUACAGUCUAGGGUUUUGCUUUGUUCAUCCUCUUUGAUGAACGAAAUGUGGAUUUUGUUGCUGAUUAUUGUGUAAUAUACAUCAUGUUUGCUGAGUCAUUGUUGUUCGGAUUAGAUCUGUUUUGCACUUUAGGGUGUUUUAGAGAGAGAGAGAGAUGACGGGGAUGGUGAUGCUAACAAGAGGAGGAGGAGGCGGUGGUGAAAAUGCAGCUAAGGAAGAACAGAACCAUCCUUCAAAUCCCUUUUUAGAUCUGAUACAGAACCCUAAUAUAUUCUUAAGUAUUCUUUCCAUCUAGGGUUUCAAGAUCUGCAUUUAGGGUUGUGAUGAUGACGGUAGUCAUCAGUUCGGUUCCUACUACCUCCAUCAUCCGCUGAUUUCAUCUUCAUUGAUUUCAUCUUGAUUCUGCCUACCACUUUUUCAAUAUCAGGAAUCAUCAGAAACCCUCAUCUUUCUGUCUGCAACUCCCGCCGGAUUCUUCGUUUUACAGAACCUCAAAUGUCAAUCAGAUUUAGUAGGCUGCAAAUCUAGGUUGCAUAUGGGAAGAUUUGUUGGAUGACACUCGCCCCCUGAUAGUGCAGAAACAUUAACAAAUGCUGGAAGUAAAGAUCCCUUUUAUGGUGAUAAUUCGCCUUCUAUGGACACUUGAGUACCCGUAUGCUAAAAGAAGGUAUAUCAAGUCAUUUGAAACCUUAAUUUCGAAGCUAAGACAUCAAUUAAAGCUCAUCUGAGGAAACGUCAACAACCUGUUCGGGUCACAGAUGGUCAAGAAUAGAAGCUAUGGACAAAACUGACUCGAGACCAUUCUGGAAAAUAUUUUUUGUUUUUUAACAAAUAUUAAUAUUUCUCAUAAUGUUUGUGAUUUUACCAAAUCUCUGAUCGUUGGGAACAUUUACUAAUUUUCGAUCAAAAAAGUUGGGAACAUAUACUGAUCGUCUUCUUCAAGAGAUUACAGAUAUGGCCUCUACGCGUCCCAGUGGAUCUAUAUCCCACAACAAUAAACGGUCAUCAUCUUCUGAACAGAAUAUCUCUCACAGAAGCGUCCAGAGGUCCGAAAAUGGUCAAAAAUGGUGGUGAAUUGUAACACCCCGAAAACGGGUUUGGAAAUCAAACCACGUUAAUAUUAAAAGACGGGUAAAGUACCGUUAGUGGUAAAAUUUACUCGGUGAAUAUUAAGAUUUCUAAACAAUUAAAUCUAAAGUUAAAUAAAAAGGGGUGAAGGAAUGUUUAUGAGGAAAUAAAGUUAUGAGAGGCCCGAGUUUACGGGACUUAGAAUGAAACGGGUUAUAACCCCGGAACCUACUAAGUUAACUAGGAAUAAUUAACCUAGUUAUCUAUGUGUGAUCAAGUGAAUGAAUAGAAAUCAAGAUUUUAAACCUCUUUAUAAAACUUCUAAAUAUGAGGGACUAAAAGUGGGCAAACUAGGAAAUGUUUUUAAUUAAAACAAUAAUAAAAAUCAAAACACACACACACAUGUGUGUGUGAGUUCGAUCGACCAGAAGCAAGAGCAGGGGUUCCAAAACCCUAGUUUAACAAAAUCAACAAAUUGAAGGUCAAAAUGAAGCUCGAAUUCACAACUAAACAUGAAUAAACGAUUACCAAGCCAAGGGGAUCGUAAGUUUGACGCUUGACAAGCUAGGUGGAGGUUUGGAAAGGAAGCGGGUCAAACUAAGCAAAUAAGAAGGAAAAGCGUACUUCGGAUGCGAGUUGAAGGACACUCGCAUCUGAAGAUGACGAGAGUUGAAUGAAUUGUGGAUAUGACGGUGGAACGGUCCGAGGUAUGACAAGCUGAGCACACUCAUUGAGGACCUAAAUCGCGUGAUGAUCGCGAACAAAGUUCACGGCAAGAGAAUCCCGUUAGGGCAAGCAUUACCAGUUUGACGCUUGACAAGCUAGGUGGAGGUUUGGAAAGGAAGCGGGUCAAACGAAGCAAAUAAGACGGAAAAGCAUACUUCGGAUGCGAGGUGAUUGCCAAGAGUGCCCGGAUGAAGAUCAAGCUCGAUGAGGAACCGAACACGAUAACAUACAAGCUUCCGCGCGACGUUUCGUCGUAUCUUUUAAACGACGAAUUCAAUUACAUUAAGUUGUAUAGUUUUGAAAUGUUGUAACAUGUUGGAAUGUUAGUAUGAAAAGUUUUUGUAAAGUCACAUUUUAGCAUUAAAAUGUGUAUAUAUUUAAUAAAAUCUUGAUUA